CAUCCGGUGGACCUACGAGGUAUCAAACGGCCAUAUUUCCAUGUUAAACCACUGGAUCGUUCUAAGUUGACAAAGUGGAAGGAAAACCUCGAUUUUGAAAUCGAAAAUGUGGGAUAAGAAAGGUAUUCUUCUAUUGCUUGAACGAUUGGACGAACCAGAUAAUGUUCUACGAUCCAAGGUGCUGAAGAACAAUUCCCCAUCCGGACAAAUUUGAUGUGCACCUGUGUGGUCAGCAUUAGCAAAAACUCAGGACCACAACAAAGCCGGUGAGAUACUUGCAAAUCUGGUGGUUUGCUCCUGCUGAUACAAAUUGCCUGUGGGCGAAUAAAUUUGGAGCGCCGUCGUGACGACAAAUGCGUUCAGUUGUAUUCUUCAAGAUUAAAAUAUGUCAACCAGGCACAGGUGCUCGAGGAAGACACGUCGACCACGGAAGUUGCACUGCAGUUUAUGGUACAGGAUGGGUUAAAGCGAAUAAAAAGAGAAAACAAUCGCCACUCAAAGAAUCAUCAAAGGAAAUUGCGUCCAGUGCCACAGUUGGAACUAGUAGUACUGCUGCUAGUUAUAUAGUCGGAAGCUACAACUAUGCUAGCACAACUCCUACUAUUACGGAACUCUGGCAACCCAAUCCAGCCAGUAUCAAUACGAGGAGAGUUCGCCUACGGCUACAGCACCUGAAAUCAUCAAUAUUCCAAAGCUGGCUACAGAGAGUACAGUCAGUGGAGUCUGUAUGGAUGUUAUUAAGGUAGGCAGAAUCCGGCGUAGUCAGGUUCUAAUAAUUAUCUAAGACAAUCAUGUAUGUUCCUUUUUAUACUGUUUCUAUACAUACGACGAUAAAAUUUUUGAAAAGAGAACUAAAUGAUAAAAGUAAAACUUGC